CUGGGCACUGCCUAAUCGACACAGACGGAUCAUUUUUUACAGUGUACUCGUGGAAUGGACUCUGAAUUCAAAACACAGAAGGUGCGUGUUGACACGCUCCUGAGCGCGAGCUGCCCUCCUGCAUGAACUGGGUAACUCACGUACACGUUUCAUCUCUUUCCGCGCGGUUGAUGGUGAUGAUCAAGGUUAGAGAACUGUGAAGUAUUAGGGUUGACAAAUACCUGAGCUUUGAAGAUUGUCUUGCAGGGGACAAUCAGACGGAUGGUGAGGUUAAGUGGGAUGUGAGGGGACAAGGCAGCAUAUAGGUAUGAGGUACACAGGUAGAAAAGGCAGUUAAGACUGAAGCAGGAAAGGAAAGAGCAGGUCCCACAAUACGAGGGGAUGGUGAGACUGACAUGUCGGGACUGAGGACUCAUGGCUGAGCCAGCUGGUCCGCACCAAACUAGCUGCCUACACGGACUGCUGAGGAAGCCAGAUCUAUCCAAAACGGAUUCAGUGACCUCUUCAGACCAAGAGAGUGAGACAGAAUAUUUGGAUCAACCAUCCAAAGCAAUGGACAGUGCACAGAAGGAUAGCAGCAAGAAUUAAAGGGAAGGGUUACAAAACCGUAGUUUACUAAAGAAAAAUGAUGGAUGGGAAUCUGGUAAAAAAAAGAAGAAACACCAAGCCGACUCUAAAAAAAAUGUGAAAAACAGUGAA